AUGUCAAAUCAUCAUGCCCCUUACGCCUUGGGCUUCACACGUGCUACAAUGGUCGUUACAAAGUGAUGCAAGACUGCGAAGUGGAGCGAACCACAAAAAACGGCCCCAGUUCGGAUUGUAGGCUGCAACUCGCCUGCAUGAAGUUGGAAUCGCUAGUAAUCGCGAAUCAGCAUGUCGCGGUGAAUACGUUCCCGGGCCUU
rnacentral:rRNA from 1 species